rnacentral:rRNA from 1 species
UACAUGGGGUGCAAACGUUGCUCGGAAUCAUUGGGCGUAAAGCGCGCGUAGGCGGUUACACAAGUUGGAUGUGAAAGCCCUCGGCUUAACUGAGGAAGUGCAUCCAAAAACUGUGCAGCUAGAGUACUAAAGAGGGUCGCGGAAUUCCCGGUGUAGAGGUGAAAUUCGUAGAUAUCGGGAGGAACACCGGUGGCGAAGGCGGCGACCUGGGUAGAUACUGACGCUGAGGCGCGAAGCGUGGGAGCAAACAGGG